AGAGUUUGAUCCUGGCUCAGAACGAACGCUGGCGGCGUGCCUAACACAUGCAAGUCGAACGAGAAAGUUCCUUCGGGAGCGAGUAAAGUGGCGCAAGGGUGAGUAACACGUGAAUAAUCUGCCCUCAAACCCGGGAUAACUUGGCGAAAGCCGAGCUAAUACUGGAUAAGACCACGUUUCAGAAGAAACGCGGUAAAAGGAGUCAAAAGCUUUGUUUGAGGAUGAGUUCGCGGACCAUUAGCUAGUUGGUGAGAUAACAGCCCACCAAGGCAAUGAUGGUUAGCCGGCCUGAGAGGGUGAUCGGCCACACUGGAACUGAGACACGGUCCAGACUCCUACGGGAGGCAGCAGUGGGGAAUUUUGCGCAAUGGGCGAAAGCCUGACGCAGCAACGCCGCGUGAGCGAUGAAGGCCUUCGGGUUGUAAAGCUCUGUCGAGUGGGAAGAACAAAAUGACGGUACCACUAAAGGAAGCCCCGGCUAACUCCGUGCCAGCAGCCGCGGUAAUACGGAGGGGGCGAGCGUUGUUCGGAAUUAUUGGGCGUAAAGCGUAUGUAGGCGGUCAAGCAAGUCAGACGUGUAAUCCCUCGGCUCAACUGAGGAGUUGCGUUUGAUACUAUUUGACUUGAGUAUAUGAGAGGAAAGUGGAAUUCCCAGUGUAGCGGUGAAAUGCAUUGAUAUUGGGAAGAACACCAGUGGCGAAGGCGGCUUUCUGGCAUAUUACUGACGCUGAGAUACGAAAGCCAGGGGAGCGAACGGGAUUAGAUACCCUGGUAGUCC
rnacentral:rRNA from 1 species